CAGUUAUCAUUAAUUUGCGGUAAAAAUCCAGCUGAUACAAUUAAAAAUAUUUUGCUCUUACUGCCAACAGACACUAUUUUGUCAGAAUACAGCAUUAAUGGUCUAAAGAAGAAAAAAAAGUUUGAAGAGUAGUUAAGUUUAUGUAACGCUGUCACUGAAGCUGCUUUAAAGUCAAAUAAAAACUUAACCAAAAUGGAUACCAUCCAACUUAUUGGGAGAGUAAUUAGGCAUUCUUCUGACCAAUUAAAGAGAACAUCUACUAAUAUGGAUAUCGAUCAAUGAUGACUUAAUUAGUUGUUGUAUUUUUUAGUUAUUUUCCAUUUUUCUGCAAUUUUUUUCUAUUUAUAAUGAUCGAUUAUAUUCUACAGUACUUAUUAGUUUUUAAUUUGGAAAGUGU